UCGGAUAUGGUGUAACGGCUAACAUUUGCGCCUCUCAUAAAACGCUGCUCGUUCGGCUUCGCGCAAGCUCGGGGUUCGACUCCCCGUAUCCGAA